CCUACGGGAGGCAGCAGUGAGGAAUAUUGGUCAAUGGGCGGAAGCCUGAACCAGCCAAGUAGCGUGCAGGAUGACGGCCCUACGGGUUGUAAACUGCUUUUAUACGGGAAUAACGCGCCUUACGUGUAGGGCUUUGCAUGUACCGUAUGAAUAAGGACCGGCUAAUUCCGUGCCAGCAGCCGCGGUAAUACGGAAGGUCCGGGCGUUAUCCGGAUUUAUUGGGUUUAAAGGGAGCGUAGGCCGCAUGUCAAGCGUGCUGUGAAAUGUCCGGGCUCAACCCGGGCCUGGCAGCGGGAACGGGGGUGAUUGAGUCCGCGGAAAGCAGGCGGAAUUCGUGGUGUAGCGGUGAAAUGCUUAGAUAUGACGAAGAACCCCGAUUGCGAAGGCAGGUUGCUGCAGCGGAACUGACGCUGAUGCUCGAAAGCGCGGGUAUCGAACAGGAUUAGAUACCCUAGUAGUC
rnacentral:rRNA from 1 species